AUUGAACGCUGGCGGCAGGCCUAACACAUGCAAGUCGAGCGGAUGACGGGAGCUUGCUCCUUGAUUCAGCGGCGGACGGGUGAGUAAUGCCUAGGAAUCUGCCUGGUAGUGGGGGACAACGUUUCGAAAGGAACGCUAAUACCGCAUACGUCCUACGGGAGAAAGCAGGGGACCUUCGGGCCGUGCGCUAUCAGAUGAGCAUAGGUCGGAUUAGCUAGUAGGUGAGGUAAUGGCUCACCUAGGCGACGAUCCGUAACUGGUCUGAGAGGAUGAUCAGUCCCACUGGAACUGAGACACGGUCCAGACUCCUACGGGAGGCAACAGUGGGGAAUAUUGGACAAUGGGCGAAAGCCUGAUCCAGCCAUGCCGCGUGUGUGAAGAAGGUCUUCGGAUUGUAAAGCACUUUAAGUUGGGAGGAAGGGCAGUAAGUUAAUACCUUGCUGUUUUGACGUUACCGACAGAAUAAGCACCGGCUAACUCUGUGCCAGCCGCCGCGGUAAUAC
rnacentral:rRNA from 1 species